rnacentral:tRNA from 1 species
GUUCAAAUAGCUUAUAUAGAGCGCGGUGCUGAAGACACUGAGGAGAUGCUAUCUUUGGACA